GACGAACCGUGCAAACGUUAUUCGGAAUCACUGGGCAUAAAGGGUGCGUAGGUGGGUUGGUAAGUCAGUGGUGAAAUCUUCGAGCUUAACUCGGAAACUGCCAUUGAUACUAUCAAUCUUGAAUUAUCUGGAGGUAAGCGGAAUAUGUCAUGUAGCGGUGAAAUGCUUAGAUAUGACAUAGAACACCCAUUGCGAAGGCAGCUUACUACGGAUACAUUGACACUGAGGCACGAAAGCGUGGGGAUCAAACAGG
rnacentral:rRNA from 1 species